GAUUAGCUAGUUGGUAGGGUAAUGGCCUACCAAGGCGACGAUCCGUAGCUGGUCUGAGAGGACGAUCAGCCACACUGGGACUGAGACACGGCCCAGACUCCUACGGGAGGCAGCAGUGGGGAAUAUUGGACAAUGGGGGGAACCCUGAUCCAGCAAUGCCGCGUGUGUGAAGAAGGCCUUCGGGUUGUAAAGCACUUUCAGUGGGGAAGAAAUUCUCAAGUCUAAUACCCUUGAGCGUUGACGUUACCCACAGAAGAAGCACUGGCUAACUCUGUGCCAGCAGCCGCGGUAAUACAGAGAGUGCAAGCGUUAAUCGGAAUCACUGGGCGUAAAGCGCGCGUAGGUGGAUAUUUAAGUCGGAUGUGAAAGCCCUAGGCUUAACCUGGGAAUUACAUCCGAUACUAGGUAUCUCGAGUAUGAUAGAGGGAAGUGGAAUUUCCGGUGUAGCGGUGAAAUGCGUAGAUAUCGGAAAGAACAUCAGUGGCGAAGGCGGCUUCCUGGAGCAAUACUGACACUGAGGCGCGAAAGCGUGGGGAGCAAACAGGAUUAGAGACCCUGGUAGUCCACGCUGUCAACGAUGAGAACUAGCUGUUGGAAAGUUUACUUUCUAGUAGCAAAGCUAACGCGUUAAGUUCUCCGCCUGGGGAGUACGGC
rnacentral:rRNA from 1 species